CCUACGGGAGGCAGCAGUGGGGGAUAUUGCACAAUGGGGGAAACCCUGAUGCAGCGACGCCGCGUGAGUGAAGACGGCCUUCGGGUUGUAAAGCUCUGUCAUUCGGGACGAAUAAAUGACGGUACCGAAGAAGGAAGCUCCGGCUAACUACGUGCCAGCAGCCGCGGUAAUACGUAGGGAGCAAGCGUUGUCCGGAAUUACUGGGUGUAAAGGGAGCGUAGGCGGGAACGCAAGUUGGAAGUGAAAGGCAUGGGCUCAACCCAUGGAAUGCUUUCAAAACUGUGUUUCUUGAGUGAAGUAGAGGCAGGCGGAAUUCCUAGUGUAGCGGUGAAAUGCGUAGAUAUUAGGAGGAACACCAGUGGCGAAGGCGGCCUGCUGGGCUUUAACUGACGCUGAGGCUCGAAAGCGUGGGUAGCAAACAGGA
rnacentral:rRNA from 1 species